rnacentral:rRNA from 1 species
UACGGAGGGAGCUAGCGUUGUUCGGAAUUACUGGGCGUAAAGCGCACGUAGGCGGAUAUUUAAGUCAGGGGUGAAAUCCCGGGGCUCAACCCCGGAACUGCCUUUGAUACUGGGUAUCUCGAGUCCGAGAGAGGUGAGUGGAAUUCCGAGUGUAGAGGUGAAAUUCGUAGAUAUUCGGAGGAACACCAGUGGCGAAGGCGGCUCACUGGCUCGGUACUGACGCUGAGGUGCGAAAGCGUGGGGAGCAAACAGG